AUGAACGCUGGCGGCGUGCCUAAUACAUGCAAGUCGAGCGAACAGACGAGGAGCUUGCUCCUCUGACGUUAGCGGCGGACGGGUGAGUAACACGUGGAUAACCUACCUAUAAGACUGGGAUAACUUCGGGAAACCGGAGCUAAUACCGGAUAAUAUAUUGAACCGCAUGGUUCAAUAGUGAAAGACGGUUUUGCUGUCACUUAUAGAUGGAUCCGCGCCGCAUUAGCUAGUUGGUAAGGUAACGGCUUACCAAGGCAACGAUGCGUAGCCGACCUGAGAGGGGGGUCGGGCACACUGGAAAUGGGACACCGGCCAGACUCCUACGGGAGGGAGGAGGAGGGAAUCUUGCGCAAUGGGCGAAAGCCUGAAGGAGCAACGCCGCGUGAGUGAUGAAGGUCUUCGGAUCGUAAAACUCUGUUAUUAGGGAAGAACAAAUGUGUAAGUAACUAUGCACGUCUUGACGGUACCUAAUCAGAAAGCCACGGCUAACUACGUG
rnacentral:rRNA from 1 species